rnacentral:rRNA from 1 species
AUUGAACGCUGGCGGAAUGCUUUACACAUGCAAGUCGAGCGGCAGCGCGGGGGCAACCCUGGCGGCGAGCGGCGAACGGGUGAGUAACACAUCGGAACGUACCCUGUCGUGGGGGAUAACGGAUCGAAAGAUUCGCUAAUACCGCAUACGACCUGAGGGUGAAAGCGGGGGAUCGCAAGACCUCGCGCGAGAGGAGCGGCCGAUGUCGGAUUAGCUAGUUGGUGAGGUAAAGGCUCACCAAGGCGACGAUCCGUAGCUGGUCUGAGAGGAUGAUCAGCCACACUGGGACUGAGACACGGCCCAGACUCCUACGGGAGGCAGCAGUGGGGAAUUUUGGACAAUGGGGGAAACCCUGAUCCAGCCAUUCCGCGUGAGUGAAGAAGGCCUUCGGGUUGUAAAGCUCUUUCGGCCGGAACGAAACGGUUACGGAUAAUACCCGUGACUAAUGACGGUACCGGAGUAAGAAGCACCGGCUAACUACGUGCCAGCCGCCGCAGUAA